CCUACGGGAGGCAGCAGUGAGGAAUAUUGGUCAAUGGGCGAGAGCCUGAACCAGCCAAGUCGCGUGAGGGAGUACUGCCCUAUGGGUUGUAAACCUCUUUUGUCGGGGAGCAAAAGCCGGACGUGUACGGCUGUGAGAGUACCCGAAGAAAAAGCAUCGGCUAACUCCGUGCCAGCAGCCGCGGUAAUGAGGAGGAUGCGAGCGUUAUCCGGAUGUAUGGGGUUUAAAGGGUGCGCAGGCGGAUUUUUAAGUCAGCGGUCAAAUCGUGGGGCUCAACCCCAUCCAGCCGUUGAAACUGGGGAUCUAGAGUGUGCGAGAGGUAUGCGGAAGGCGUGGUGUAGCGGUGAAAGGCAUAGAUAUCACGCAGAACCCCGAUUGCGAAGGCAGCAUACCGGUGCACAACUGACGCUCAGGCACGAAAGCGUGGGUAUCGAACAGGAUUAGAUACCCCAGUAGUC
rnacentral:rRNA from 1 species